rnacentral:rRNA from 1 species
GACAGAGGGUGCAAGCGUUAAUCGGAAUGACUGGGCGUAAAGAGCGCGCAGGCGGUCGUUCAAGUCGAGUGUGAAAGCCCCCGGCUUAACUGGGGAGGGUCAUUCGAUACUGAUCGACUCGAAGGCAGGAGAGGGUAGUGGAAUUCCCGGUGUAGUGGUGAAAUGCGUAGAUAUCGGGAGGAACACCAGUGGCGAAGGCGACUACCUGGCCUGUUCUUGACGCUGAGGCGCGAAAGCGUGGGGAGCAAACAGG